rnacentral:rRNA from 1 species
CGAGAAAGUGGAGCAAUCCAUGAGUAAAGUGGCGCACGGGUGAGUAACACGUGACUAACCUACCCAGGAGUGGGGGAUAACUGAGGGAAACCUUAGCUAAUACCGCAUAACACCUACGGGUCAAAGGAGCAAUUCGCUUCUGGAGGGGGUCGCGGCCGAUUAGUUAGUUGGCAGGGUAAUGGCCUACCAAGACGAUGAUCGGUAUCCGGCCUGAGAGGGCGCACGGACACACUGGAACUGAAACACGGUCCAGACUCCUACGGGAGGCAGCAGUGGGGAAUUUUGCGCAAUGGGGGAAACCCUGACGCAGCAACGCCGCGUGGAGGAUGAAGUCCUUCGGGACGUAAACUCCUUUCGAUCGGGACGAUUAUGACGGUACCGGAAGAAGAAGCCCCGGCUAACUUCGUGCCAGCAGCCGCGGUAAUACGAGGGGGGCGAGCGUUGUUCGGAAUUAUUGGGCGUAAAGGGUGCGUAGGCGGUUUGGUAAGUCUGAUGUGAAAUCUAUGGGCUCAACUCAUAGUCUGCAUCGGAAACUGCCGGGCUUGAGUAUGGGAGAGGUGAGUGGAAUUCCUGGUGUAGCGGUGAAAUGCGUAGAUAUCAGGAGGAACACCUGUGGCGAAAGCGGCUCACUGGACCAUAACUGACGCUGAUGCACGAAAGCUAGGGGAGCAAACAGGAUUAGAUACCCUGGUAGUCCUAGCCCUAAACGAUGACUGCUUGGUGUGACG